GUUCUUUGGAGAUUUUUUUUUGUAACCAAACAAAACAAGACGACCUAACUUUCAGUCGUCUCAGGAAACAGAUUUCAAAGCCAAUUACAAAAAUAACCUCUGCAUUGACUAGACGACUUCCAGGAAAGUCGUCUACAGCCAGACGACUUACCUGACGAACAGAUCUGGAAAAAACUCGAUUUCAUACCUUAAAUUGGUGAGAUAAUUUCUUUGGCACACAUAAGGCUUCUCCAAAAACACAUAAUCUCAAACGAAAGUGACCCACCCAGAAUCGUUAGCUUCUUUAAUUCUAUGAACCAUAAAAAAUUUAGAAUCAAAAUCUUGAAUUUUUUUAGCUUAAUGUGGAGAGAAUGUGAGAGAGAUGUUGUGUUUCGUUCAUAAGAAUGGAGAAUUUUACGAAAAGCCCAUAAAUAAAACUAUUAACUUUCAAUUUUGGAUUUUUAACAAUAAUUUUAUUAAACUUAUUUUUCUUAUUUUAUAUACCAUCUAUUAUAUGUUAUCAUUAAAUUUAGAUAUUUUUAUUUAUUAGUUUUUCUGAUUUUGAUUAAAAGUAAUUACUUAAAUAUUAGUAAUCAAAUUCUAUAUUUUAAAUAUUUUUUUUACAAAAAUUUAAAUUGGUAGUAUAGCUAUAUUUAUUAAUCCUUAUCUGUAUUACUUAUGCUGAUUUUUUUGCUUAUGAUAAUAAAAUAGUAAAUAAUUUUUCGGAUUAAUUUCAACGGAUUCAGUGUAUCCAAAAAUACAAAAAUAAUAAAUAACAUUUCAUAUUUAUCUGAAGGCAGUUUACAUACAUAUAUAUAUAUAUAUAUAUAUAUAUAUAUAUUAGAUAUUCAAAAUUAUGUGACAUAUAAUUUCAUAUAAAGUAAUAUAGAUUAUCAAAUUUAUCUUUUAAAAAACUCAAGUCUUGAAAAUAUUAGAAAACAGUAUGUAUAUAUAUAUAUAUAUAUAUAUUUGCAUAACUAAUUUCAUUAGUUUUAUUAUUGAGAAAUUCUCACAAAUACCACAUUCAUGUUUACACUAUUCAAUUUCAUAAUACCGCUUUACAUGCUUAAAAUAAUCACUUUUAUCAUUAUUUUUAAUAAAGCGUAAAAGACACUUAUACCCCUAGGGUUAACUAAUCUAUACUUAGUGUUUAGAGUUGAUGGGUGGGGUAAGGGUUUUAGAAUGUGAAAUUUAGAAUUCUAAUAAAUAUAUAAAUAAAUAUUUAAAAAUGUAAAAAAAUUAAAAUUAGUUUCAAACAUAAAUUUUGAUUUUUAAAAAGAAAGUAAAAAAACAAUUCAGAGAAAAUAGUGUUAUUAAAAAUUGGAAUUUGAAACAAAAUAAUUCAAAAACAUAAAAAAAUAUUUCUUUAUUUUUUUAUUUUUAUUUAAAUAAUAAUUUAUUAUAUAUAUAUAGAACAAGGAUAUAAAUGUCUUUUGCCGCUUAAUGAAUAAUGUAUUUUUGAAAAUGUCCAUUUAGUGGUCGUAAAGAUGAAAAGUGGUAAUAUGAAAGUGAUAAACAUAAAGUCCCCUUUAUUAUUUGCAAAAAAACUAUAUAAAAUAAUUUUUUAUAAUUCUAAAAUUUACAAUUGGUUUGAAUUAAAAAUGUACAAUUGUUUUGUAAAAGCAUGUAUAGACUAUCUAAUGUUGUGUUAAUAUAUUUGGUGCAAAUAAUAAUAGUAAGAGAUGUGGGAAAUUUUAUAAUUUUUUAAAAUUGUGAUUGUGCAAUAUAUGGUGUUUCACUUAUAAGUUAUAACUAGAACUUGACCCGCACGCCCAUACGGAUAUUUAUUUUCACUUUUAUAUAUAAAAUAUUAUUUAAAGGAUUACUAGUUUAUAUUUUAAAUAUUUAUCAUAUUUUAAAAUUCUUAUAAACAUCAUAGUGAAAUAGUUUACAUGUUGGAAACAAAUAUUGAUCCAUGUGCCUUAUUUAAAUUUCGACAAACAUUGAACCAUUGAUAUGUUUGAGUAAUGUGUCUCUUAACACGAAAUCGUUUCCCAACUAUAUAAUACUUUAAAUAUUUUGAUUUCAUAUGGGUCAUAAGGCGAGAUUUAGAUACAUCAGAAAAGAAAUAUUCCAUUAUAAACAUUAAAUAUUAUUUUAUAAGUAAUUUUAUGAUAUUUAAAACUGUAUAUAGAUAAAUUUCUUGUUAAAAUAUAUUUUAGAAAUAUUUGAAAUAUAUAUUUUAUUAAAGAAUAAAAAUAUAUUUUAGAUAUAUUUGAAAUAUAUAUACUUUAGGCAACAUUUAGAUAUAUUAAAAUGAAUAUUAAAUAAUAAAAAAUCCAUAUUAUUAUACAAGUAAUUCAAAUAUAGUUGAGCCUUACCAUAGAUAGAUGAAAGUAUUACAUUGUAGGUCACAUUUACAGUUUUAAUAACAUCCUAGGACAUUUUCUUCUACCCACACACUUUCUCUAACUAUUUGAUCAAAUUGUCGUUAGCUUUUCUAACUAAAACUGAACUAUUCUCUUUCCACACACUCUCUUCUCUCCUUUUAUAAAUGGUGGUCCCAUUCUCUUCGUUACUUUUCUCUUCAUUUUUUUUAUUUUUAUUAUUUUGAACACUCUCUUCAUCUUUAUCAGGUUUUUUUUAUUAAAACAUAACUGAGAUUUCACCGUCACACCAUAGACACCGGGACUCGCCGAACUGUCCACCGGAAUCUUCAGAGCCACGGCGAGCUUCAUCCACCGCAGUGGUCUUCAUUCUCCUUGGGGCUUCUCUUCCGCGGUGUCUCCUGUCCGCCGUGAGAUCUUGUCGUUAAUGAAGAAAGAUUGGAGCGUUAUUGUUACUGUGUUGGCUGCAACCGCAUCAAAUCGCUAGGCCCUAUGUGUCUUCUUGUCCCGACUGCAACCAGGAUCUCUCAGCGCGACGACGGAGAGCCACCGCGGCGAUCUCCGACUACAGAUCCACCUUCGUCGUCUCGAUUCAUCUUCAAGUCAUGCUCAAGCUCGAUCCGUGAACAUGACUCUGUGAUAAGCCAGCACCGACCUCUAGUUAAUCCAUGAUUGAUUGGUUUUGGUGAUGAAGACAUAGAUCGAUCGUUUCCAAGCCAAACUUCUCCUUUUUUGCAUGUUUGGUCCUUGAACAUUUCUGUUCUUCUCAAUGUGAACCCAAACUCUCAGAUUUUCGUAUAAGUCCUCUUGAACUAAUUUCAAACUUCCAAUUGUGCUUCCGAGCCCUUAUAAUAUGCAAAUGAACACAUACAUACAACAACAUCAAAACGCAUCGUAAAUAAUUUAAAUAAACUAAAACAUAUGUUAAAACCAUAAAAAUCAUGAGAUGUCAUUGUUGAAAAUAAUAAUUCAUAUGUUCACACUGAUAAUUUUUCUAUGCUAGUUUGGACACCAAAUAUUGUUAAUGUUUUCCAUAAAAGUAAACACAAAACUCCAAAGAAAAAUCAAUGGCUUUGGAUGUCCAUGUGGACACUAUAUUAUGAAUGGAAUGAUAUAAAUGAUUUAAUUGAAUUUCUAAAGUUGACAAAAAAUGAAAUUUUAAAAUUUAUUUUUAUCCCAUAUGAUAUGAAUAUUGAACAAACAAAUUCAAUAUAUAAAUAUAAUGAGAACUAUAACGAUCUAAGAAUUAAAACAAGUUACUUAAAAUAUAUUUUUUAGCAACUAUACCAAAAAUACUAAGAUCAUCAAAUAUCAUAAGAGCAAUGUACAAACAUACUGGUAGAUAUGUGAUUUUUCGCAAAACCUGGUACAUGUAGUUUUUGUAAAACCUUGUACACGUGGACAAUAAAAUAUAUGUGUACACGUGGAUAAUAAAAUAUAUGUGGACAUUGCCAUAUGUACAUUGGUUCACAAGUGUACAUGUGUAAACUUUUCAUAUAUAAACUUUAUAAAUCUAUUGUAUGUUUUAACAUUUGUACAUUGUUCAUAUGUAUACUAAUUCGUAUGUGUGUACACAAUUACAUUAGUAUGGACAUUGCCAUAUGUACGCUUGUUCACAAAUGUACAUGUGUACACUUUGUUCGUUGACAAAUUCAUGUUUUCACCGUACAUACAACAAAAUGUUAAAUGUGUACACAUGUACAGCAAAUUUCUCAGUUUUUUUUAUGAUUUAAUAAGUUUGUUUAAUGAACAAGAGAGGGCUAAAGAUCAUCUUAUUCUUCGUCGAUUACAUAAACUGUUUAAACGUUUCAAUAUCAGAUUACAGUAAGAUUAUAUCACUCAUCCUGAAACCCAACAAUAGCAAUCUGUCCAUAAAGGACCAAAGUUGCAAAACCAAAGUUAUAUAAAACACGAAGGACCAAAGUUGCAAAAAAUAAAAGUAGCCAUUGAUGUUCUCUAGCUUCUCGAAACAGUGCCGCGGCGAAGAGACAAGGUGACGACGUAGGGAAAGUUGUAGAAACACAGCAGAGGAGAUGAAGAUAUGUAGAUACAGCGAAGGAGAUGACAAAGAAAACUACUACGGAUUUGGGGGUAUGACGUCUUAAGAGAAGACGAGACGGAAACGGUACAGAUGAGUUGCAGGGCACAAAUCAAGGCAGAGAAGGAAGAGUUGCCGAAGAGAAAAGCUUGAAUUUGAGUGGUUCGUGUUUAAGGUGACGACGACGCAACGAGAAUCCGACCAGGUGAGCUCAAAGAGACCACAACGGUCACUCUUUCAUAGCUUCAUCCUCACCGUCGUGUAUCUCUUUAUUUUCAGAUUCAAAAUUUUCUUGUGUCUACAAUUAAAGUUAUUUUUCUUGCUACGGAGAGAGAGAGAGAAGGAAAAUGACAAAGCUUAAAAUUGGUGGGACCACUCUAGUUAGAAGAAUAAGAUUAGUUAGCAAUUGUUUGGAUUUUAGUCACAAAAACUACCCCAAUAGCAAGAAGUGACUUAUUAUGUAAUAAAAAGAUGGAAAGUGACCUAGAGUGAAAAUCACUCAUAGAUGAAAUCAUUUAUUUUUAAAAUAAUUAAUGGUAGUGGUUAAACAUAUAUUUUUAAAAAUUUAAAAUACAUAUAUUUUAGGGGAAUUUGAACACAUAACCAUAGAAGAAAAAGAAACUAAGAGUCUAACCAUAGCAUAUGGUACGCUACAAUAUAAGCGGUGUGUUUAUAUAUAAUGUCAAUAAUGCCCCCGUCUGCGCGUGAGAAAGUUGUUGGGCCCACUAGCUCUUACAGAUUUAUUUAUCCAGGAAACUGAACCGUUUUACUGUCCAUUAUAACCAUUACACAAACGAGACCCCGACCGCUCUAGAGACCGGAGAUUUUUUCGCUAACGUUGCUAUUGGAUUUCGUUUCGAUCUGGCUUACGGAGAGCGAUAUCGACCGUGAAUGAAUACACGUCAGUCAGUUUUUUCGGUUCAAACGUCCGUAGUAUCUCGUUUUGGACGGCUCGGGUUUUGUGAAAUUGACAGAAACCUCCUCAAUUGAUUGCAGAUCUCGGGUAUUGACUUCUGCGGCGUCGUCAUUGCAAGGAUGGAAGAGGUUGGUUUGCCGGAACGUUUGUUUCAAACAGGGUAUGAACCGACGGACCGAAAAUGGAUUAACAAUUACUUCAACUUACGGUGGAUUGAGGUUGUUAAAGCAGCACUUUCAGAUGCUCAGCAGGAGAUGUUGGUUGAAUCUCAAUUUAGACAACUAAUGCUGAUGGGAGUGCACACAUUUUCAGUGAUGUUUGCACACCAGCUGUUGUCACGUCAGUUGUUGACCCGAAAGUUGUAUGAGCUGUGGUGGUUGUUUGCGGGGAAGCCAAUACGAUAUGGUAUUUGCUGACUUCGCCUUAGUGACAGGUUUCAAUUGUGGGACACCUCCUACCCCCAACGUAGGUUACGAGCGGACGGGAAAAGCGAAAAAAGGGCAAAGCAAGUAGGUAGGGAUGGAGUGAUCUGGCAAGCAUUGUUUGGCAGCGAGGAUACGAUAACCCCGGAGUGGAUUAUAUGCAGGUUGAGCCAAAAAGAAAAAUACAAAGAUGAGGAGACGAGAUUGCGUUUGUAUCUUAUCCUGCUAGUAGAAGGUAUUCUCUGCCCAACUAGUGGUUCAACGCAUAUAAGGCCAGAUGUGGUUGAGAUGUUGAGUGAUAUGCGGAUGUUUAUGGAGUAUCCUUGGGGAAGGGAGUCAUUUCUGUUGACCGUUCCAUGCGGGAAGAUUAGGGCAGCCGGCCAAUUGGCCCAAGACACACUGGCCAUACAAGGGUUUUCGCAUGCUAUGGUUUUAGUAACAGUUUGCAGCUGCCCACAAAUUAUUACAGACUCACGUUUAGGGGAGGCGCUGCUGGAUGACGCGCUUCCCAUAGAAGACAUUGUUGAUGGUGUGUGUGCGAAGACUGUUAAAAUCAAUGUUGUAACUGUUCGGAACCUUGAGCUUAUUGGUCAAGUAUGCGGUUCCCAGCUUUACAAUCUUACCUUAACCAUCCGUCUUAUUUGAGAAACAUUGAACAUCCACGGUUUUGUUUUUUUCAGGCUGCAGUUCGCUCGAUACUAUGUGAAGCUUCUGACAUACCUCCAUUCCCUUAUGAGGUUGACGAUAUGCGCGUUGCUCACAUGGUCGCCUUGAUUCGCGAGGGCUUCCCUUUUGAAAUCAACACAUGGCGUGGGGGUGUGAAGGCAAGUAAUGCAAAACAAUGGAAGGGUGGUAAUGGCCCCGACCGUUUAGGAGAUUCUGAGGGGAAACAUGGGCAAGCGUCAACUAAUGAUGGUCAUGGAUUAGGGGGUGGGCAUGGGUUGACGUUGGAUGUACCAAACCUAGUGCAAUGUUUGGCAAAUGAACUGCAGGCACGAGCAGGGCCUUUGUUAGGAAUUAUUAAAACCCACAUUACCCAAGAAAUGGUUGCACUCAAGAAGGAAGUUUUAGUACCACUUCGGAUGCCGGCAGCAGGAGGAACGGCAGAUCUAGGAAAAGGUAGUGUUUUGUAUAUUAAUUUGUUAAUAUUUGAGGACACAAGUGUUUAACGCAGUGCUACACGUUGUAUGGUUCUGUGCGCAGAAGCUGCAGGAAUAUCGAUUUCUGUGCCGGGAAAUAGUGAGCCCGGGUUUAUUGUCUGCAGGAGGCCCAUGUAAGCAUGCAUGAGGGCGUAGUUUCCCGCCAUUGAUCCUAAGACAGUUUCCAUUGCAAUUUCCCGAAAACGCCAAGAUUUCCAGUAGGAUACAUUAACAUGGAAGUCGUCAAGCAUCAGCUUCCUAAUUGUAGCUGGCAUUGGGCCGUGCUUAAUUCCGAUAAAACGCAUUUGUAUUAGCUCACCAAUGACUUGUGUCGUUGCCAGCUUAUGAUAGUUGCGGCGUGCAUCCACGGAACAGCUGUGCGUCAGGGUUGCUUGACGUAUCUGGAAGUUGCCACUGCCAUCAACUUUCGCUGCGUAGACGCGCCAUGGCCAGUCAAUAGUAACACAAAUCAGAAUAGCAAUUUUGAUUUUGCAGUCGCUCUUGGACAUGAACACUUGCCCAACGAAAAGAUUGUCGCCUUCAUAAGGUAUAGCUUCAAGAGCAGCAUCGAUGCCUGCAAUACAAUGAAAAUGUUGGCUCAUUUCUAUAUCUAUACUAUGUAUAUUUAUAGUAUAGUCCACUAGAAAACUAACCAUCUACUUCACCGCUGUCAAUAACAGGUGCCGCAUCUCGUGCAAAUAGUACCGGCUCAGUGCUCUCGUCGUUUAGUAGGUCAUGUAACAAGUCCUGAAAGCGCGUCCAGGUGUAGAGGCUGCUUUGUUGGGCCACACCGGAUGGUUCUGCAGUAGUUGGUGAUUCUAUGGGAUCAGCUUGUGUUUCGGUCUGUCCAUCCCUUCCUAUCGCUGCGUUGUUGGCUUCCAUUGGGUCCUCAAAAAGACGACGCCUAACCGCUCUACUACUUUCCCCAUUUCCCCCACCCACACCGUUGUUUGUUGACGUCUCGGGGAGAAGGAACUGCACGUCGCGGCCACAUUUGUUCCCUUCAGUGGCUACCGCUUUCUCUUUUCCUUUGCAUCUAGCUUCGGUUUGAGGGCUUACUAGACGAAUGAUUGGUUCCCGUAUGACUAUACCACUUUGUGAGUAUGGAAUAGUCUGACUUCGUUGAACCACAAAACUCCCACCCACGUCGUUUUUCUGUUGUGGACAAGUCAAUGGCGUUUCAAACAUCGCAAAAUCCAGCCACGCAUCCUCCAAAAUGUCGUCUGAUGCAUUCUCGAUUUCAGCUUCGUUGAGUAUUAGCGCUUGGUCAGUAACAUUAGCAAAUGGUGGUCUUGUUUUACUCGUUGUUAUACCAUCUAUAUGCUCCGAGAUGGUAACAAACAAGUUAACCUCCUCUAUUUUACAUCGCAUCUGAACAAACGCCUCCACGGCAUCGUGUUCUGAGAUGUACUGUGGUGUGGAACCAUCACCAUUGUCGAUCUGCAUCCAUGAGAGAAAUUGGUAUGAAAGUUUGAAUGACACGUUCUUUGCAACGAUCCCUAGGGUAUCCUUAACCAUUUAAACCAACUCUUCAUACUCCAGGUCAGGGAAGAGGUCAAUGCUAUGCUUGCCUUGUUCUGAAAGGGAAUCAAAAAUCCAUCUUCUGUUUUCCUCGCGGACCCACGAUCCGGUUAAUCGCAUAACGGUGUCCUGCUCCGUCAUCUGCAUUGUCAGGGGUGAAAGCAGCUAUGAGUUCAAGAAAUUUUAUGAAGUUUACAUAUAUAGUAUAGUCCUAUACUCUACUUGUUUGUCAACACUUUUGCUCCGUCAGAACCUCUUUCAUCUCCCAUUAUUAACAGAGUCGCAUACUUAUUUAACCUAUCGGCCUGGUGCUCCUUAUAUAAGUUACCCUCCCUAUCAUAGUACUAACCCACCCAACCAACAUAGCAACAUUUAAAGCGCUUUAAUAUAGAAAGUUCAAACCUGGUAGUUGUCUCCUUGUGCUUUUACUCUCCCGCUGCUUCUUCUUCAAACAUUUUUUAACUUUUACACAGUCUAUUUUUACCCUUCUCCCAGUAUAGUUCCGCUUCUGUUAAUAUAAGUUAUAAAUUAUAUUUUGAUGGAUGCCAGCUGUCCGCAGUUCACACCACACGUUCUUUAUGAGCAGGAAUUUCCCCUCGUUUGAAUUAUUCACCUGUGGGUGGGAUAUUGAAAUGACUUCCCAUACUAUUUAUCGGUUUGGUACACAAGAUAAAUACGCACAUGCAAAUUUACUGGAUUAUGCUUCUCUAUGCGCACGCGCUCUUCAGGGUUUGUUUUGGGAAUUUGGGCCAAAACCUGUCGUUUCCGUGGGUUCGAAUCAUAGCAUGGUUAUUUUCUUCAUUGUUUCUCUCCUUAUGAAUAUCCACCAAAUUGAUCCUAUAUUUUAAGCUUUACAAACUAAAUGUGUGGAGUUUAUAUGAUACUUGGGAUAUAUUAUAUUAUAUUAUUAAAAAAACAUUUUUAAACCUGAAUUUUUCAAAAAUUUAGCUAAAUCAUUUUCGGAAAUACGUUGAUCACAAAAAUUUAGCCAAACUUGAUUGAGGAAAUGUUUUAAUAAAAUAGAAAAAUACAAUAAUUAUUUAAAAGCAUGUUUAUUUAAUUUUCAAUGGCAUUGGAUUGUAAAUAUUGUGAAAAUUUGAGGGUUAGUUUAGGUUUGUACUUAUGUUUUAAUAGAUUAGAUAUAAUCUCAUAAAAAGCGAGAUUGUUUUUUGUUUUUAAGCAGUACGUAAAUUUUAGAUAUAAAUUAUGAAAUCUAAUCAUGCUUAAUCUACGAGACAAAUCCUCUCAUACCCCUAUAUUUCAUAACACAAUCUCAAAAGUACACUUUUGUUCUUUUAAUUUUAUAUGUCAAACGAAAAAUCAUAAAAUUAAAAUGGAAACAUUAAUAUUUUUUAUUUGAUUUAUAGAAUUUGAUAAAAAUAUUUCAAAAAUCAAAAAACAUUGUUUUCCAUAUUUUCGAAAAAAAUCAUCAAAAUGUGAUUAAAAACGAUUUUAAAAUAUUUUUUUCUGAAUUUGAAAGGUAUAUAAUUUAAAUAUUUGUCCAUGGGUUCACUAAUCCAUAGGGAGGGUUAGGGUUUAGUUUUGAUGACCGGGAAGGAUUUGAUUUGGGAAUUUGGAUUAUGAUCAAAAAAGAAUUAUGAAAUAAGGGCAUAGGAGACUCUAGGAACCUAUAAGAAAUUUGGCAUUUUAUAUUUGGGGCACACGAGAAGUUGGCUCAUCUAUCUACUUAUAAAUCGGAAUUCCUAAAUAUAAUCAGAAAAUCUAAUUAUCCAAGCAUAAUAUAGUGUAUUACACAUGUCGAAUUAAAGUUAGUAAACCACAAAAUAGGCUUUAUGCCACUCGCAACAUCGCACAUAGAAGCCCUUUCAUGACAUAUAUGGCCCAUUAGUUUAUUUCUUUAAAUUAGCACUAUAUCUUGAUUCCGCGCAAUCGCACGGAUGUUUAUUUUCAAUGUUAUAAAUAUAAAAUCUUGUUAUAACAUCGUUAGUAACAAAUAUUUUUAAUAUUGACUAUAUAUCAAAUGUUUAUAUGAUUUAUUUAAAUCUAAUAAUAUUAUAGUUUACAUCUUUGUCAUCUUAUUAAUUUUGUCAUCUUAUUAAUGAUUUCAAACCAUGACAUGUAUUUGUAGAUUUUUAUUAUACAUUUACUUCAUUUAUUUUGAGUUAAUUAUUAGACAACUUAACAUAUGCAAAGUUCAACUGAUUUGGUAUAUAUUUUAUAUUAACUCAUAUUUAUAAGCAUAAGUAAUAAAAAUAACUUGUGAAUUUAGUAAUUUAUUUGCGUUUUAUGACAAUUUAAAAAUAUUCAAAUUUAUCGUUUAUUAUUUUAGAUCUUUUGAAAGCUGUUAAGGUAAAUCUAUAUCCAAGUCGUAUAGUUAACUAAAGGUCUGGAGUUGUAAUGGUACCGAAAAUAUAACUUAAUUUCGUGUAUUAAGAAGUUUUAAACAAAUAUAUGGAAAAUUUGAAGAUUUUAUAGUAUUUUAAGAUAGUGGUUUUAUAUUAGUUAAUCAAUAUUUUUAUGGGAUAUUAUAUUGUUUCACGUUUCUUUUUAUGUAAAGGGAUAAAAAGUUUGAAGUUGUUAUGGGAAAUCUAUAAAUUAAUUUUAUGUAUUUCAAAAUUUUAAUUAAAAAUACGGAAACAAAAGAAAGAUUUGUUUUUUUUUUGUCAUCACAAAAGAAAGAUUUUAUGAUAUGUUUACAGAGUGAUCUCUAUUUAUUAGAUAAUCAAAAUUAUUUUAUCGAAUACUCUUUUAUUUUGAUAAGAUUUGGUUGAAUAUUUUUUAAAUGUGAGAUCACAACUUUAGAAAAUUUAUGAAAGACUUAUUUUGCAUGAUACAUACACCAAAUGUUGCGCAACUCGUUAACUGAAUUUGGGUAAUUGGUUUGAUAUUUUAAUAGGGGUUCUUUCAAAAAUGACUCAAAAUUUCAAGUCAAACACAAAAAUAACAUAUGUUUUUUUUGAAACUUUGUUUUGUCCUAUUCACCCUAGAAGUUCUAGUUAUUCACGAAAAUACCGUUACUCUUUUUUCUCCGAAAAUAAGGCUUUUACCUUACUAUCCUCAUCUUCACCAAAUAUUUACAACUUUGCCAUUGACAUAAAAACCUCAACCAACAUGAACUACCAAAUCGAUAGAGUUAAUGCUCUAAAGUUUCGAUUUGUUCUCAUCCUUUUUCAUUUCCAAUCCACACAAACCACAUAUCUUACGCGUUCUCUCAAAAUUCAUCAAAAACUGAAGAUUUUGAUUACAAAUUAUGUAAGGUUCAUAAGUUCACGAUUCUUGGUGAUUAACGAGUAGGUAGCUGUUGUGGUGAAGUUCUAGGUGAUUGGAGAAACCACCAAAGACAUCUCACGAGUUCAAGGUAUGAAAUCGCGACGUGCAUUUUAUUUUUAGUUCAAGUCAAAUCACGAGUUCAAUAUUUUUCAUCGAGAAGACUACUUUAGAAUUCUUCUGGUCAAUGCAUAUGUUAGUUUUGCAAUUGACCUUUUGUGUGUUUUUAUUAGAAGACUUCCAUAGAAGUCUUCUAACUUUCCUUUGUAACCAAAAAAGUUUCAAAAUUCUCAUAGAAGACAUCUUUAGAAUUCUUCUCGGAUAAACAUGUUACUUUUAAAUUUGACCGAAGUUGGUCAGAAAUUAUAUUUUUUCUAGAAAACUUCUGAAAGUCUUCCCUAAGUCUUCUCAAUGUGGAAGAUGUCUGCGUGAGUUACUUUUGCAAUUGAAAAAUAAUAGUAAGAAAUUUAAGUCUUCGAGUUUAAUUCUGGAUUUUGGUCAAACAUUUGCUCGCGAGAGAAGACUUUUAGAGAAGUCAUCCGACGGAAGACAUCUAAAGAAGUCUUCUCUCGAAAAGUCAAAUAUAGUCAAUUGCAAAACUAACCCAGCAGACUUUUUGCAACAUUGAGAAGACUUCCGAAAUACUUAGAGAAGACUUCUUUUAAAGUAUUCUCCAGGUAGACUUCCUUAAAAGUCUUCUACAAAAAGUCAAAAUUCUGACUAACUUCGGUCAAAUUCAAAAAUAACAUGUUUAUUCGAGAGAAAAUUUCGCAAAAAAUUUCAAUUUCAAAAGUAAGCCAAUAUUUACAAAGGAAGACUUCCAAUGAUGACUUAUAUACAGUAGACUUCUAAAGAAGUCUUCUUUCGUAAAUUCGCAAUUGCAAAAAUGAUCUAAAUAGUAGACUUCUUUUGAAGUCUACACAGAGUAGACUUCUUUUGAAGUCUUCUGUGGAUGACUUCAAAAAAAAUCUUAUACGUAAAUCUUUAUUAAACUUCAAAUUUAUCCAAAAUUAAAAUGAAUUUUUAAUAUAUUUUUGCUAAUUCAUGUUUAUUGGUCAAUAAUAGGUCUACUGAGUUGAAUUAUAACUUAAUUGGUGAUAAUUAUGAAGUUACAAACAUUGAUGUUUAAUAAUGUUUCUAGCUAAACGGAGAAGUCUUCUGUAAGUCUUCCUCAUAGAAGACUUGUAAAAGACUUCAUAAGAAGUUCUUCUCUGUUGAUUUUAUUUUAUUAAUUUGAUGUUCUUUGUUUGUGUUGUCUUCCUCAUAAGAUACAAUUUUUUAACUUCCAUGAAAUUUAAAAUUUCAACUUUCACUUAAAAUUUAAUUCUGAUCUUUUGUGAAUUUGACUAAAAUUUCUUGUGAAAUCUUCUUUCUUAGUUUUAGCAAAUUUUACUAAGUUUUUGUGUUGUUGUGUUUCGUUAUGUGUGGGUAGAAUGGUCAAAAUAUUUUUUGGUAUGUUGCAUCAAUAACUUUAAGGAGUCAAAUACUUUUGGCAAAACCUGAACAUAUUUACCAUUUUUUGAUUAACAUCUCUUAAAGUUUACAAAAUAAUUCACAAUUAAAAUAUUACACAUACAAAUCAUAAAAAGACCAUAAACAAAAUUAUUACACAGCUAGAUAUUAUUCCUCAACAUAGAUAAGCUUGGAUUCCACUUCACAUUAUCUCUUUGUAUCACUUUGGGCAUAAGACUUUGGAAUACUUUCUGAAGACUUCGUGGGAAGUCUUCUACCAUAAAAUACCUUAGAAGAUUUCCCAAAAAGUCUUCCAAGAGUCUUCCAAGAUUCUGCCAACAAUUAUCCGAGAAGUCUUCCAAAAUCUGCAUAUUCAAAAGCAUUCAAAAGACUUCAAAAAUAAAUUUUUAGAUAAUAAACAAAACAAUCACAUUAGAUUGGAUAUAUAAUUUUGUAGAAUCUAAUAUAUAAAAGAGACAAAAUACAUAUCCAAAAUUUAUACUACUUUAGGCAGAAGACUUCAGAAGACAUCCUGAAGACUUCGUGGGAAGUCUUCUAGCAUAAAAUUCAUUAGAAGACUUUCUAAGAAGGCUUCUGAGAAAUCUUUCGAGAGUAUUCUUUCGAGGUCUUUCGAAGUCUCUCAGAUCUGGAAAAACCUGCAAAUUCAAAAACAUUCAAAUGACUUUAAAACGGAGAAAAACUUCAAAAAUGAAAUUUUUAUGCUUACAAAAUAAACAAAACAGUCACACUAUGUUGAAUCUAUAGCUUUUUAGAAUCUAACAUAUAAACACACACAUAAAUUUAUAUCCAAAAUUUAGAGAUCUACCUUUGAAAGAGUGAAAGAUGAGAAUCAUGUAAUAAAAAACCUGCAAAAAGAAGAUAAAUUAGUGAGAAGAUAUAAGAAAAUGUGAGAAAUGAAUAUAAAGUUUGGUGUUUUGAUGUUCAAAGAGAUUAGAGAGGGUUGGAGAUUUUUAGAGUGAGAAACAUUACAUUUUUGUUGCAAUCAAUUGAGAGGAAGAAAGAGAAUAUGUAAAUUUUCUUUAUAUAUGGAGACAAAAAUUCCAAUUAGGUUAAAUAUUUUCGACCCAUAAGACUUAUGGAAGAUUUAUGGAAGACUCAUGGAAGACUUAUAUAAGACUCAUGGAUGACUUAUGAAAGACUUUGAUUUAGACGGGAAACCUAAAUUAUUCCAAAAUUUAUGUGGGAUGUGUCGAAAGACUUCUUUUAAAGUUUUAUGUGAGUCUUCUAGACCCUAAAAUCAAAUAACUAUGCAAAAAAACUUUUAAACUUAAAAAAACCUAGAAAGUGUUUAAAUCAAAUUAUUAGAUAGUUACUAAACAUAUAUAGGUCAAUUUGAAAAAAGGAAAAAAAUGAAGAUAAGAUUUCAAAUCUAACCCUAAAGAUACCAACAAUACUAUAACAUAUGUUAUUAAACCCUAAACUAAUAAUUCAUGAACCAAUCUACAUUCACUCGUCUUUGUUGAAAAUAAUUCAAUUUCAGAUAAACUAAAUUUACAUGAUUGAAAAAUGUUUAUUAUUACAUGAUUUCAAAUUUUCACCCGUGAAAAUAUUUUUUAUAAAAAACUUAAAUUAUUUUUAAUAUCUAAUCAAUGAGAAGACUUUCUCUCGAAGAAUUUUGGAAAACUUAUGGAAGACUCCUAGAAGACCUAUGGAAGACUUUGAUUUAGGUGGGAACCUAAAUUAUUCCACAAUUUAGGCAAGAACCAUAGAUUCUACUAAAAUUUAGGCGGGGUGUGUCUGAAGACUUCUUUUUAAGUAUUUUGUGAGUUUUCCAGACCAUAAAAACAAUUAACUAUGCAAAAAACAUUUUUUAAACUUAAAAAAAAAACUUCGAAAGUGUUUAAAUGAAGUUAUUAGAUAGUUACCACACAUGACAAAAAAAAAGAUAGUUACUAAACAUAUAUGGGUCAAUUUGAAAAAGAAAAACAAUGAAGGUAAUAUUUCAGAAUCUAACCCUAAAGAUACAUACAAUACUAUAAUAUAUAUUACUAAACCCUAAACCAAUGACUCAUGAGCCAAUAUACAUUCACUCAUCUAUAUUGAAAAUAGUUCAAUUUCAGAUGAACUAAAUUUACAUCAUUGAGAAAUGUUUAUUAUUACAUGAUUUCAAUUUUUUACCCAUCAAAAUAUUUUUUUAUAAAAUUAUUUUUAAGACCUACUGAACGAGAAGACUUGCAAAGAAGUCAUCGUAGAAAAGACUUACAAAGAAGUCUUCUCUAACGGAGGGUUAGUUUUGCAUUUGAUUGAAUUUCGGGUACACUUUUGUAUUCAAAAUCAAAUUUUGAGUCAUUUUUGGCAAAUCCCCCUGUUUUAAUACUUAUUCUGUUAGGGAAAUAUUAUAUACGAUUUUACAGUCAACAAUAACCUCCAAAAUACAUAAAUGUAAAUGUGUUGAUUAGAAAGUGUUCAAACAAAAUUGUUAUAAGAGAAAUCCAACUAUUUUUAUUGGAUAAUUUGCCAAAUAUGACUCACAACUUGAUUUUAAAUACAAACCUAAAAACUUUGUGAAAUUACAUCCAGUCCCUUGUGACCAAAAAAAAAACCGAAGCCAUUUUUACGAAUAUAGUCCGAGUAAGUCACCUGAGUCGUCUGAGAUGCUAGAAGUCUUCUAGACGACUUCCAAGUAAGUCUUCUGGUGUAGUUGAUCUUAAAAAUAAUUUUUAAUUUUUUUAAAAAAUAUUUUGAUAAGCGAAAAAUUAAAAUCAUGUAAUUAUAAACAGUUUUAAGUGAUAUAAAUUAAAAUAUAACAAAACUAAAUUGUUUUCAACAUAAGGUAGUGAAUCAUAGUAUUCUUUGGUCUAGGGUUUGGCAACAUAAUUUGUAGUAUUGUAUGUAUUCUUAGGGAUAGAUUUUGGAAAGCUUGAAUGUUUGUUUUGAAAAAAUUAAUUUUUUACCUUUAAGUGUUUAUUUUUGUGUAUAGUAAUUAUUUUUGAAGUUUAAUUUGAUUUUAUGAAGUGUUUAGUUAGUUAAUUAAGUUUAGGGGUUAUGUUUAGGGUCUAGACGACUUCUAUCGAUGUCGUCUGGUGAAUAAUUUUAGCUGGACUACUUACAAGUAAGUCGUCCAAAUAUUCCCAUCUAAAAUUAUU